rfam:Pseudoalteromonas sp. JW1 Pseudoalteromonas_sp_JW1_S35, whole genome shotgun sequence.
UGAUCUGAUCUUCGUUUGAGUAUCCUUGCGGGCUUUUCAAACAGAUGGGUAUCGGAUCUAAAUAUAGGAGAUGUGUUAGUGGCCCGUAUCGCUGGCAUUAACGUCCCUGAU